rnacentral:piRNA from 1 species
UCUGUCGUUUGUUGUGAUCCA